rnacentral:misc_RNA from 1 species
AGCAGCCGCGGUAAUUCCAGCUCCAAUAGCGUAUAUUAAAGUUGCUGCAGUUAAAAAGCUCGUAGUUGAAUUUCGGGAUCAAUAUGUUGGUCGUGCCUCGGUACGUACUAGCUUAUUGGUUUCUCCCUUCUGACGAACCAUGAUGUCAUUUAUUUGGUGUUAUGGGAAAUCAGGACUGUUACUUUGAAAAAAUUAGAGUGUUUAAAGCAGGCUCACGCUUGAAUACAUUAGCAUGGAAUAAUGAAAUAGGACGUUUGAUUCUAUUUUGUUGGUUUCUAGGAUCGACGUAAUGAUUAAUAGGGAUAGUUGGGGGCGAUUAGUAUUCAAUUGUCAGAGGUGAAAUUCUUGGAUUUAUUGAAGACUAACUACUGCGAAAGCAUUUGCCAAGGAUGUUUUCAUUAAUCAAGAACGAAAGUUAGGGGAUCGAAGACGAUCAGAUACCGUCGUAGUCUUAACCAUAAACUAUGCCGACUAGGGAUCGGAUGAUGUUAAUUUUUUAAUGACUCAUUCGGCGCCUUAC